CCUCUCUAGGCUGCACCAGGGGCUGCCAGCUGCUGAGGAUACAGCCUGGUCCUGCUCCUCUUCCAGCAGCUUCUGCCCAGGGUGGAACCAAAGUCUCCAUAUUCCUAAGAACGACUCUUCCAACAGCCUCAGUUCCUGCCUUGGGCCAAGUCAGGGGAUCAGCCUAGCCAAGUUCUGAGCCCAAGUCAGGCACUGCUGAAACCAGUCUCAGCAACUCCUCCUACAACAGCAGGACCAGGUUGGAAGAUUACAGAAUGCUCUGAGCACUUUGGGACCCUCUUGGAUUACUGCCCUCUUCCAAACUCCAAAAUCUUUGGAAGUCAUAAUUCUGGGGAGAGCCCCUGACGAGCCCUGGAGACACACAGAGCUCUGCGUUCACGGCGCAGCCGCCAGCCCUGGCCGGGACCUAUUUCCACAGGGAGGAGGACAAUGCCUGCCGCCUCCAAAGCUGAGAGGAAGCCUGAACCUGGAGGAAAGGAGCAGGAGCCACAUGAUAACAGGCACACGGGGUCAUCUUGGUUUAAGGAGGAGAGUUUUCUCUGAUCUUGGGCAUUUCGGAGGCUGCCAUCACACUGCACCAAGAUAUCCAAGCAGGCCCACCAGCUGGACAUCCACAAGGAGGACCUUGAAGCAAACACUUCGCUUAUUCAGGAUACAAGUGUCCAUAAUUCUGUAAUUGCCUUUCUUAUUCACUGUAUGCCCUUGAGCAAUCACCUUAAGAUGUUUGUUCCU